rnacentral:snRNA from 1 species
AUGGCCUACCGGCCUUUUGGCCUGAAUCAAGUGUAGUAUCUGUUCUUAUCAGUUUUAAUAUCUGAUAUGUUACUAGCGUGAGGACUAUAUUAAGCGGAUUUUUAGCACGGGAGCUGAAGAACUGCUCCUUUCACUCCGCGCGCUCGACCCUGCUUUUACGAAUUACGCCGAAACGGUACGCUUCUCGGCCGUAGAAUAGAAAUA